GUGGUGGUGUGGCGGUUGCGGUGGCGGUGGCGGCGUCGCCCGUAAGGUCAAGGCCCUCUGCAAGCGCCCUACCCGACUCUUAUGCACCUUCGGGGUCACGUGACGCGGCUCAAGGUCUUCUCUCCCCACUCCUGCAAGCAUUGCACGGCCACGCCAUGCCACCCGCCGUUACCACCGACGGUGCAACAAGCGUGUCCCCCUUCCUCUUGUUGCCCUCUUGCUUCCCUACUCUUCUCUACCCUACCCUACCCUACCCUACUGUACCCUGCCCUACCCUUCCCUUUCCUCUCUGUCUUCCUGGCCCAACUCUCUUGUCCCUCGUCGUCUUGAAUGCGCCUGCUGCUGCCGUUGCUGCCUCAUCUUCUCGGUCGUUCCAAGUCGCGUAACUUCUCUCCCGAGGAACUUCUAUGAGCGUGGAUUCGGCUUUGAGCCGUUAGUACAAGUACCGUUUCGUUUCUCUUUAUAGAUAUAUAUGUAUAUGUGUAUAUACGUACACACAUCUAUAUAUCUCUAUGUACACGCGUGAAUCUAUUUCUCACUUUACACGGGGGAGGGACCAUAGGGGAGGAGUAGUAUCGUAACGAUUUAAUGCGUGCACUGAGGUGGUUUUCUAUUAUAACCGCAGCCUCGAACAAAUAUGAUCUCUCCUCUAGAGAGAUAUAACCAAGAGAACAAAAGCUAUCCAAGUUUUCCGUGGGUAAUUUCAAAAAAAAAAAAAAAAAAUGCCAUAACUGUGGUUUAAAAUGUCAAGGAAUUCUAGACGUAAGAUUAGUUACGACAACAACGAGUACGUGCAACCAGCAACAACAACAACAGAUUUCAAAAUUACGAUUCGAUGAGACGAGUUGUUGUAUAAACGAUAUGGCAGGUGACACGGAAGAGAGAGAUCGACGACCCACGAAGAUUACUAUAUGUACGACGACGACGACGACGACUCUAUUUUAAGCGGGUCGAAAGUAUACACCACGCCAGGAGGAGUCCUCUCGUGAAGAGAAGUGUCUCUUCUCUCACAGAAGUUGACCGUGAAAGAAACGCAAAAGAAGAGACGAGCUGCUUGCUGUUCUGCUUGUAACUGUAUUACGUUUGCUGUUGCUGUUGCUGCUGCUGCUACUCUCAGUCGGCAGUCUCCUCUUCCUCCUUCACCUCCUCCUCCACCUUCACCUCUUCUUCCUCCUCCUCUUUAUCCUCUUCGUCUCGUCUCGUCUCAUCUCGUCGUGUCGUUCGUUCUUGUUGAGGAAAUGCGAGUCAAGUACAACGUCCGCUUGCGUCGGCGUCUCCUAUCAGGGAUGAUGAUUGUUCGCAAUGCAUUUUUUACGGGUCGAUCAUUCAAAGAAGAUCACACACACUCUCUCUAUCUAUCUCUUAUACUUCGUUUACGAUGAUUCAUAAACAAGGAAAGUCGUCUUUGAUAAUCUCCUGAUUUAUUUUUCUUUUCUUUUGAAUUUAAUUUAAUUAUCUCAAGAAAAAAAAUGGACAAACUAAUCUGAUCAUAUGUACAAUUUUAUUAUGUUACUUGAGUAAUAUAAUUAUGAGAUAAUUAGCAUAAUAAUAAGUAUGGAUUGGAUUCGUUCAUGAACGAAAUAUGAACGGAAGUCGAUCUUAAAACAUUGUGUGUGUGGUACGACACGAAGACGACGACGACGACGACGAGUAUUCGAACGGAGGAAUGAACGAACGAACGAACGAACGAAACAAAACGGUACCUCGAACUUUAAGUCUUUCUUUUCUUUUACUCUCAAAGGCCUUCUCUUCUCGCCGCGUAUAUAAAACGUCUCGCUUAUCUCAUGUUGCACUUCCUUCGUCUCGCACGUGUGUUUUUCUUCGCGAUACCGCUCUUCCUCUCUCUCUUUCUCUCUCUCGUAAGAAAUACGAUGUAUUGAAUUCACUAAUGUAACUAUACAUGUAUGUACAUAUUAUUUAUGCUCACGCGCGCGUGUGUGUGUAUACUUUUUUAUGUGUUUACAUAUAUAGA